CCUACGGGAGGCUGCAGUGGGGAAUAUUGGACAAUGGGCGAAAGCCUGAUCCAGCCAUGCCGCGUGUGUGAAGAAGGCCUUCGGGUUGUAAAGCACUUUCAGUGGGGAAGAAAGCCUUGGGGCUAAUACCCUCGAGGAAGGACAUCACCCACAGAAGAAGCACCGGCUAACUCCGUGCCAGCAGCCGCGGUAAUACGGAGGGUGCGAGCGUUAAUCGGAAUUACUGGGCGUAAAGCGCGCGUAGGCGGUCUGAUAAGCCGGUUGUGAAAGCCCCGGGCUCAACCUGGGAACGGCAUCCGGAACUGUCAGGCUAGAGUGCAGGAGAGGAAGGUAGAAUUCCUGGUGUAGCGGUGAAAUGCGUAGAGAUCGGGAGGAAUACCAGUGGCGAAGGCGGCCUUCUGGACUGACACUGACGCUGAGGUGCGAAAGCGUGGGUAGCAAACAGGAUUAGAUACCCCUGUAGUC
rnacentral:rRNA from 1 species